GAGAGAGAAUGCAAUACUUGUUCCACACUUGAUAUCCUGCAACUAAAAUAAUUGUACCUGUGGGCUGUAGGUCAGGAUCACAGCUUGGAUUUUCAGCUGUCCUGCAAGCCUGCCCACUUAUGGUGCCAGCACUGGUGUUGAAGAAAAUGAUGGAAGAAUGAUAAUUUGAUACAGAUGAGGUAGCAGGACCGAAGAGCAUAAAAGGCAGUUGCACAAACAUCUUUUCCAUUCACUUGUGCUUCAACCACAGACAUUCCACCCUUCUCUGAUGUUAAAAACUGCAGAUCCCAAUUAUAAGAUUGGCAAAGUUCUUGCAGUUCCCUGAAAGGACUAAGCUGCAAACUGGAGAACCUCAUGAUUGGAUCCAAAAAGGAAAGCAUUAUCGUCCACAAAAGCUCCAGAUUAAACCCUGAAUCAAGAAGAAUGGCACCCAGAGAAGACUCUACCAAGUCACCCAAAGCCUGAAGCAAUAAGUGAAAUCAUUCCGAGUUAGUAAUAUAACAAUUACAUUCCCACACCCCGCUCCUUCUCUCCAAAAACAAAACAAAACAAAACUCGAAAAAAAAAAUGAUGGCUGGGAGGUCAUUUCGUCAUUGUCACCAUGCCACAACAGAAAAAAUUCACAGAAGAUUACAAUGUCUACCUUCGGACAUUUUGGCCCCUCUAGAAGACUCCCUUCAGGCGCUUGCAUUUUAACAGCAUCCACAUACAUCUCAAUUGCCUCAGUAAGGCUACUGGAAUCACAUAUAAGAAAUUUGUGGAAGGAUCGUUCUACCGCAAGAUUGGCAAAUGCCUCAUUAUUCACAAACACAGAUCUCAAAUCUGUCAAUUGACCAGGCUUCAACUUUGGAUAAGCUGAAUAAAGAUAUGAUGUAAUUAAGUAAUCCAAGACAGCAUCUCCAAGAAACUCCAAUCUCUGGUGAAAAAAGACAUUUCAAAUUAUCACAAGAUAAAAUGUUGCAUAGUUGUGCAACUGUCAUAAGAGAUAUUAAGCAGAGAGAGUAUUAUUGUCUAGUACCAGAAGUAGAAAGGACAUAGUGCAUACCUGAUAGCAGCCUCCUCCAUUUUUGUUGUGCGAAGGAUGUACAAAUGCCUGUAUAAGCAAACCUCUGUGGAGAAACUGAUACCCUAACAAAUUUUCAAGGGAAGGAAUGUCCAAAGAAGUAGCAAGCGGGAUGUAGCUAGUGCUUGCUAUGCAGGCCUUAGAAACUUGUGAGGCUUCAAAAUCUACCUGUAUGCCAAUCCAUCGAAGAAAUGCAAUUGCAGCUCUGAAGCCACUAUCAACUAUGAACGCUCCAACAAGAGCUUCAACCACAUCAGCGAUUGUUUUCUUAUGAAGCCAGUGGUGACCUCUACUGCAUCUAGUUGGACUGGAACUUGCAUGAUCUGCUAGACCACUUGAAUGCUGGAAAUGAACAGCUGCUUCUGUCUCCUUGUUGCAGAUUAUUGGGCAAGGGCGGCCCAGAGCAAAGAAUUGGCAGGGAUCAAAUGAAUAAUCACGGAUGUAAACCUGAGAUAAGAGAGUAUACCAAGUGCUUAGUUAAUGAAACCUAGUAGAAGAACACCUCAGUAAUUAAUCCAUAAGGUGUUAAUUUCGCUAAGAGAGUUUUCCACACCGCACUAGCAGAAAACAUGCAUUGGUUAGUGGAAACAAUAUCAGCCAAAUAAAUUCUUAAACAUCAAAGAAGUGGGGUCUUGGCCAAACCACAGAGAGAGGGAGAGAGAGAGAGGGCAACAUUUAUUUAUUUUUUUUUAUAAUUAAGAGAGAGGACAACAUUUAUUUAUACACUGGACAUAAGUACCAUGUCAAACACUAUUUUUUUUUUAUAAGUAAUAAGAUAUUUUAUUUAUCAAAAAGUAGGCAAAGCCCAGGUACACAGGAAGUAUACAUGUGGAUACACCUAUUUAGGAACUAAAAACAGUUACAAGGAAGUCAUGGAAGUUGAGAUCAUUCAAAUCUAAAGCAAUGGCCCACCUAAAUAAAGUCUUCCA